GUUCUUUACUCAAAUCUAGAUGAAAAGGUUUAAAUACAAAUCUUCUCAAAGAAAGAUGAGAAGUUGAAUAUUCGUGCAAAUUUUCCUUCUACCAGAUUCUUUUAGAUUCUUUCUUCACAUACACAAAAGAUGGAGACAGAAAAAGAGAGGAACAUUAAUGGAGUAAGGCUUUCACAAGCAGCAGUGUCUUCACAAUUUGCCUGGAAUUUUUUGGUCUCAUUUAUUAUUAAUUAUGGAUAUGGAAGUAUUUUAUUUAUGUUGUUGGUUGUCUUUGUUGUUUCACACAACAGUUGACUUUUAGUGUGCAUUUUGCACUAAAAUUCUUUGCUAAGAAAUUCAGAGGAAGUUUAAAAUGCACACUCAAAUUAAGUCAUAUUAUUCGUGAUAGAGUCAAUAAUUAAAGGAAUUGCAAGGUAGAUUAUAGUCUUAGGUUUUCUUUAAAAUCUAAAUGCUAAAUUCAAUAAAAUGUCUUCAUUUUGAUGUGAUCUGUUUUCCACAAAGUAUCCAUAGUCUGCUAAGCAUAGAACGUUAGUGUUGAGGCUUUUUCGUUUCCGUAAUUUGGCAAGUGGGAGGGACUGGUGCCCAGCAGUUUCUUCACUCCUGUAGCUUGGUGAGUGGAAAAGAGUGUUACAGCUCUUUUACUCCCACCGCCUGCAGUUCAAUGAGUGAGAGCAUUACAGCUCUUUUACUCCUGUAGUUUGGCAAGUUCCAGGUUCUUGUCCUGCAACCAAGAGGAAUAAGGUAGGUGGACACCAGAGAGUGAGUAAGGCAAAGUAGAAUUUUAUUGAGUGACAGAAAGAAAGCUCUCAGCAGCAAGAGGGGGCCCAAAAGUGGGUUGUCGUCUGUGAGGCUGAGUGCAGGAUUUUGAUGGGCUUGGGAUGGGGGAAUGUGUGCUGAUUGGUCCAUGGGUGGGCUUGGAUAAGGCAACAUUUAACUGGUUAAAAGACAUCAUUCAG
rnacentral:lncRNA from 1 species